UACGUAGGGGGCUAGCGUUGUCCGGAAUUACUGGGCGUAAAGCGUGCGCAGGCGGUUAUGUAAGACAGGUGUGAAAUCCCAGGGCUUAACCUUGGAACUGCAUUUGUGACUGCAUAGCUAGAGUACGGUAGAGGGGGAUGGAAUUCCGCGUGUAGCAGUGAAAUGCGUAGAUAUGCGGAGGAACACCGAUGGCGAAGGCAAUCCCCUGGACCUGUACUGACGCUCAUGCACGAAAGCGUGGGGAGCAAACAGG
rnacentral:rRNA from 1 species